CAGCAGCCGCGGUAAUACGUAGGUCCCGAGCGUUGUCCGGAUUUAUUGGGCGUAAAGGGAGCGCAGGCGGUUUAGUAAGUCUGAAGUUAAAGGCAUUGGCUCAACCAAUGUAUGCUUUGGAAACUGUUAGACUUGAGUGCAGAAGGGGAGAGUGGAACUCCAUGUGUAGCGGUGAAAUGCGUAGAUACAUGGAGGAACACCGGUGGCGAAAGCGGCUCUCUGGUCAGUCACUGACGCUGAGGCUCGAAAGCGUGGGUAGCGAACAGGAUUAGAUACCCGCGUAGUCCCUGUCUCUUAUACC
rnacentral:rRNA from 1 species